rnacentral:rRNA from 1 species
UUCUAACCGUAAACGAUGACAACCAGCGAUUAGUCGGCGUUAAUAUAAGACCCGACUAGCAGCUUCCGGGAAACCAAAGUUUUUCGUUUCCGGGGGAAGUAUGGUUGCAAAGCUGAAACUUAAAGGAAUUGACGGAAGGGCACCACCAGGAGUGGAGCCUGCGGCUUAAUUUGACUCAACACGGGAAAACUCACCCGGCCCGGACACCGUAAGGAUUGACAGACUGAGAGCUCUUUCUUAAUUCGGUGGGUGGUGGUGCAUGGCCGUUCUUAGUUGGUGGAGCGAUUUGUCUGGUUAAUUCCGAUAACGAACGAGACUCUGGCCUAUUAAAUAGCCGGUAUAUCUAGAAAAAGUAUGCCGCGCUUCUUAGAGGGACAACCGGCGUCUAGCCGCGUGAAAUAGAGCAAUAACAGGUCUGUGAUGCCCUUAGAUGUCCGGGGCUGCACGCGCGCUACACUGAAAGAAUCAGUAUGCGCCUUCGCCUAGUUCGGAAGAACCGGGUAACCCGAGCAAAUUCUUUCGUGCUUGGGAUAGGGAAUUGCAAUUAUUUCCCUUAAACGAGGAAUUCCCAGUAAAUGCGGGUCAUAAGCUCGCGUUG